AUAAAGAAGACUGUCCCUUCUAAAGUGGGAGAGCCUCACCCACUUGGUUGAAGACCUGCACAGAGCAGCAAACUUAUCUUCCGUGGACAGAAGUGAAUGCUGCAGGAAAUAGCCUUGGAAGCUUACUACAACGUGACUCUUUCAGCCAGAGAGGCCCGCUCUGCAGAGUCUGAGCCACCCUCCACAGUCAUAACUUACAACACCAUUAUCCAGGAACCAAGCAUUCAGCCCAGGAGAGUGUGGAGACAUUGCAUAUUCAAAUCAUCAACAUCAUAAUGAGUAUUUCAUCAGUUGAAUUGGCUGGUAGAUGUUAGCUCUCAAACAAUUGUGGUAGAUGCUUUAAGAGACCAAGAACAAAGUCCUGGCAAUCAGAGGAAGGAGAUAGUACCCCUAGGAGAGCCUUCUAAAAGCUUGGCCUUCCAGAAUGGACUUGACUACAAAAGACAGUGUGGCAACACAGCCCUGGCACACACAUGGCUCAGAAACUGGAUGGUGCAGGGCCACACUGGGCCACAGAGACAAGCCCAGCUGGAUGAAGAGGGGAGGGAACAUAUGAAGUGAGAUGGAGAAUGUAGGAUCUGUCACCAGCACCUUGAGUGCACGCCAAGUGUCGAUGUUGGAUUUGGUGGGUGGGGAAGCCCUUGAAGGAUUCUAAGCUGUGAACGCCAUGGUCAGGGUUGUCUUCUCUAGAAGGGGCCUUUCAUGAGUUACCCAGGGAACGCAUAAAAUAUUGGCAAAGCCAUUGGUCCUGGGAUUUAGAAUGAACUCGGAGCCAGACCACAGCCCAAUGUAGAUGAGAUUUUGGCUCUAAGGAUAAGGAUUAGCUCAGACCUGAAAACUCACAGGGGUCAGAUUCAGCUGGUCUGGUCCCCAUGUCAACAGCAGUGCCAACGAUUUAUGUGUUUUUGGAGUAACCUCACCCCUUCCACUUCCACUCCCUCCUCUCUGUAACAGAGACACAGGACCGGCAGUGAUCGAUGAUAGCACACAGCCUACAUCUGGAGAAGAGCCAAGCUGGUAUUGCCUUUGAGCUGUUGCUGCAGUACCUGUGGGCCGUCUGUCGAUGCAGUGUCUGCAAGUAGCAUAUCUUGGAUCAAGCGAUGCAUAUCUUGGAGCCACCUGGUCUGAGACUCCCCCAGGACUCUUAAGGCUUCACUGUCAACAUGAGUGUAAAAAGGCUACAGGCCAGCUUGGAUGCUUUUAUCAGCAGAAAAAUCCAAUCUUAAGUAAUCAAAUGUCAACCAAAUUUUCUAGUUUGGUGAAAAGGGAGCUGAUGGUGUGGUGACCUAUAUUGUAGAGAAUCAGACUUUUAAUCCUGACAUCCACAGUGGCUGUUCUUCCCAUAUCUGUUCCCCUCAUACUUGUGGUAGUGUGAUGUCUGAUGCUCCACACAUAGCCUCAUCUUCACCAGAUAGGUGGGGCAGCUAUAGGCCACUUGCCUGCUUCUGAACAAUCCUCAGAAGUGCCCAUGCUGACCACUGGAAAGUCCUAUGACCUUGUGACACUUGCCUCUCUGUGCCCAAGGUUUCUAAUUAGUCAAGUGUACGACAGUAACCCCCUGUACAGAUGUUGUAAGAAUGCAAUGAAUGAUCACUGGCUUGCUUUAGUGUUUCCCCAGACCAUCUUCAGCAACCUGCUGGUGAGUCAGAGGAUAAACUUAGUGAAUUGUGACUAACUUAAAAAAAGAGAGAAGUGUGUUAGAGUGGGUGCAAAGAGCGAAUGACAAUGCACGCUGCAUGCCAUUAGCGGAUGGCGUUUUGUGGAGCUUGUCAUUGAGUUUUAUAUGUAUUCAUAAACUGUGCGACUGUAA